rnacentral:rRNA from 1 species
UACGUAGGGGGCAAGCGUUGUCCGGAAUCAUUGGGCGUAAAGCGCGUGUAGGCGGUUCGGUAAGUCGGCUGUGAAAGUCCAGGGCUCAACCCUGGGAUGCCGGUCGAUACUGCCGGACUAGAGUUCGGAAGAGGCGAGUGGAAUUCCCGGUGUAGCGGUGAAAUGCGCAGAUAUCGGGAGGAACACCAAUGGCGAAGGCAGCUCGCUGGGACGUUACUGACGCUGAGGCGCGAAAGCGGUGGGGAGCAAAC